rnacentral:tRNA from 1 species
AGGAUUAUAAUUAAAUUUAUAAUAAUUAAUUUGCAUUUAAUAAUUGCUAUAUAGCUAAUUCUA